CAAGGGGGGGCUGCCUAAUACAUGCAAGUCGAGCGAAUCGGAGGGAGCUUGCUCCCAAAGAUUAGCGGCGGACGGGUGAGUAACACGUGGGCAACCUGCCUGUAAGACUGGGAUAACUUCGGGAAACCGGAGCUAAUACCGGAUAAUCCUUUUCCUCUCAUGAGGAAAAGCUGAAAGACGGUUUCGGCUGUCACUUACAGAUGGGCCCGCGGCGCAUUAGCUAGUUGGUGAGGUAACGGCUCACCAAGGCAACGAUGCGUAGCCGACCUGAGAGGGUGAUCGGCCACACUGGGACUGAGACACGGCCCAGACUCCUACGGGAGGCAGCAGUAGGGAAUCUUCCGCAAUGGACGAAAGUCUGACGGAGCAACGCCGCGUGAGCGAAGAAGGCCUUCGGGUCGUAAAGCUCUGUUGUCAGGGAAGAACAAGUACCGGAGUAACUGCCGGUACCUUGACGGUACCUGACCAGAAAGCCACGGCUAACUACGUGCCAGCAGCCGCGGUAAUACGUAGGUGGCAAGCGUUGUCCGGAAUUAUUGGGCGUAAAGCGCGCGCAGGCGGUCCUUUAAGUCUGAUGUGAAAGCCCACGGCUCAACCGUGGAGGGUCAUUGGAAACUGGGGGGACUUGAGUGCAGAAGAGGAGAGUGGAAUUCCACGUGUAGCGGUGAAAUGCGUAGAGAUGUGGAGGAACACCAGUGGCGAAAGCGACUCUCUGGUCUGUAACUGACGCUGAGGCGCGAAAGCGUGGGGAGCGAACAGGAUUAGAUACCCUGGUAGUCCACGCCGUAACGAUGAGUGCUAAGUGUUAGAGGGUUUCCGCCCCUUUAGUGCUGCAGCAAACGCAUUAAGCACUCCGCUGGGGAGUACGGCGCAGCUGAAACUCAAGAUGACGGGGGCCGCACAGCGGUGGAGCAUGUGAUAUUCGAGCACGCGAGAUCUACCAGGUCUUGGACAAUCACUGACAUCUUGAGAUGCGUUACUUCGGGACAG
rnacentral:rRNA from 2 species